UACGGGGGGGGGCAAGCGUUGUUCGGAAUUACUGGGCGUAAAGGGCCAGUAGGCGGCCAACUAAGUCGGAUGUGAAAUCCCCAGGCUCAACUUGGGAACUGCAUCCGAUACUGGAUGGCUUGAAUUCGGGAGAGGGAUGCAGAAUUCCAGGUGUAGCGGUGAAAUGCGUAGAUAUCUGGAGGAACACCGGUGGCGAAGGCGGCAUCCUGGACCAUUACUGACACUGAAUAGCGAAAGCCAGGGGAGCAAACGGG
rnacentral:rRNA from 1 species